rnacentral:rRNA from 1 species
UACGUAGGGGGCUAGCGUUGUCCGGAAUCAUUGGGCGUAAAGCGCGUGUAGGCGGUCCGGUAAGUCCGCUGUGAAAGUCGAGGGCUCAACCCUCGAAUGCCGGUGGAUACUGUCGGGCUCGAGUACGGGAGAGGCGAGUGGAAUUCCUGGUGUAGCGGUGAAAUGCGCAGAUAUCAGGAGGAACACCGAUUGCGAAGGCAGCUCGCUGGAACGUUACUGACGCUGAGACGCGAAAGCGUGGGGAGCAAACAGG